GAUGAAGAACGCAGCGAAAUGCGAUAAGUAAUGUGAAUUGCAGAAUUCAGUGAAUCAUCGAAUCUUUGAACGCACAUUGCGCCCCCUGGUAUUCCGGGGGGCAUGCCUGUUCGAGCGUCAUUUCACCACUCAAGCCUCGCUUGGUAUUGGGCAACGCGGUCCGCCGCGUGCCUCAAAUCGACCGGCUGGGUCUUCUGUCCCCUAAGCGUUGUGGAAACUUUCGCUAAAGGGUGUUCGGGAGGCUACGCCGUAAAACAACCCCAUUUCUAAGGCUGACCUCGGAUCAGGUAGGGAUACCCGCUGAACUUAAGCAUAUCAAUAAGCGGAGGA
rnacentral:misc_RNA from 1 species